AUUGAACGCUGGCGGCAUGCCUUACACAUGCAGGUCGAACGGCAGCACGGGAGCAAUCCUGGUGGCGAGUGGCGAACGGGUGAGUAAUAUAUCGGAACGUGCCCAGUCGUGGGGGAUAACGCAGCGAAAGCUGUGCUAAUACCGCAUACGAUCUAAGGAUGAAAGCGGGGGAUCGCAAGACCUCGCGCGAUUGGAGCGGCCGAUAUCAGAUUAGCUAGUUGGUGGGGUAAAGGCCCACCAAGGCGACGAUCUGUAGCUGGUCUGAGAGGACGACCGGCCACGCUGGAACUGAGACACGGUCCAGAUUCCUACGGGAGGCAGCAGUGGGGAAUUUUGGACAAUGGGCGCAAGCCUGAUCCAGCAAUGCCGCGUGCAGGAUGAAGGCCUUCGGGUUGUAAACUGCUUUUGUACGGAACGAAACGGCCCUUUCUAAUACAGGGGGCUAAUGACGGUACCGUAAGAAUAAGCACCGGCUAACUACGUGCCAGCAGCCGCAGUAA
rnacentral:rRNA from 1 species